AUCGGAAUUACUGGGCGUAAAGCGCACGCAGGCGGUCUGUCAAGUCGGAUGUGAAAUCCCCGGGCUUAACCUGGGAACUGCAUUCGAAACUGGCAGGCUAGAGUCUUGUAGAGGGGGGUAGAAUUCCAGGUGUAGCGGUGAAAUGCGUAGAGAUCUGGAGGAAUACCGGUGGCGAAGGCGGCCCCCUGGACAAAGACUGACGCUCAGGUGCGAAAGCGUGGGGAGCAAACAGGAUUAGAUACCCUGGUAGUCCACGCCGUAAACGAUGUCGAUUUGGAGGUUGUGCCCUUGAGGCGUGGCUUCCGGAGCUAACGCGUUAAAUCGACCGCCUGGGGAGUACGGCCGCAAGGUUAAAACUCAAAUGAAUUGACGGGGGCCCGCACAAGCGGUGGAGCAUGUGGUUUAAUUCGAUGCAACGCGAAGAACCUUACCUGGUCUUGACAUCCACAGAACUUUCCAGAGAUGGAUUGGUGCCUUCGGGAACUGUGAGACAGGUGCUGCAUGGCUGUCGUCAGCUCGUGUUGUGAAAUGUUGGGUUAAGUCCCGCAACGAGCGCAACCCUUAUCCUUUGUUGCCAGCGGUUAGGCCGGGAACUCAAAGGAGACUGCCAGUGAUAAACUGGAGGAAGGUGGGGAUGACGUCAAGUCAUCAUGGCCCUUACGACCAGGGCUACACACGUGCUACAAUGGCAUAUACAAAGAGAAGCGACCUCGCGAGAGCAAGCGGACCUCAUAAAGUAUGUCGUAGUCCGGAUUGGAGUCUGCAACUCGACUCCAUGAAGUCGGAAUCGCUAGUAAUCGUAGAUCAGAAUGCUACGGUGAAUACGUUCCCGGGCCUUGUACACACCGCCCGUCACACCAUGGGAGUGGGUUGCAAAAGAAGUAGGUAGCUUA
rnacentral:rRNA from 1 species